GGUGAUAAUUAUUUAAAAGUAGUUUAGUAGAAUAGUAAUUGUUAUUCAACUUUAUAAUUAAAAAUGAAAAUGUAGUAAGAAUAUAGGUAGCACUUUUUUUCAUUAUCACCAUUAGAAGUCUAAUUGAAAUCCUCUUAAUGAUGUUUUAAAAAGUUAUUUCAUAUAUAUCAAGAGAAAAUAUCAUCUUAAUAUAUUCUUUUUGACUAGAUAUGUAUAGUACACUUUCAAAAAUCUCUUUAAAUUGACCUAAAUCCACUAUGUAAAAUAUUUUAUUUACUUAAUAUGUAUGGCACUAAAUGUAUACUUUGCUAAAUGACCAAGUAAGAAAAACAAUUAAAAAUCAAACUGCUGACUUUAAUAAUUUUACUUAAGUAUAGAAAAAGAGAAAACACAACAUUUUAAUUUUACAGAAAACCAUUUGAUAUAAGUGUGAUUCUUUCAUACUCAGGUAGAAACUACUUGUCAAGAAGUCAGAUGCUAUGUUAGGAUUUUAUUGUGUUUUUAAAAAAUAACUUGUAAAUAGAAAUAUAAGCUGCUUUACUCUGUCCAUUAAAUACUAGAAUAUAUACCUAAUAUUUAAAUGCAUAUCCCGUUCAUAUCUAUUGUUUCUACAAAAUUUUCAAUAGAGCCUUAAAGCUGUUGAAUACAGGUUUAAUUCCAAAUUUCAUUUCUUUCUGAAUUGCACCAUCCUUCAGCAAUGCAUCAUCAUCACAGGUCAUUGCACCGAUGAAAUUAAUCUGAUAAAACACCUGUGUGACAGAGAAAAUGAUAUAUUAGUGUGAUUCAUCAUUAAUGUACAUCAUCAGCCCAUGAUCUAUUAGUGUAUUGCUCAAAGGAUUGUGUCAUUAGGAAAGAGUGAGUUCCUAGUGUUAAAUUAUGGUGUUGAAGGCAGUAGUUAGAGCCUAGUAUAACCCAGGAGGCAAAAAGUAGAUGUGCUAAUACAAAAUCAAGUUCUCUGAACUUUCUUUCUUUUUUUUUUUUUUUGGCUUUAAAGUGUCAGAUUUGAAUUUUUGCUAAUAAGGUUUUACUUCUUUAAGGUGAAAUUAAGUUUGCCCUUAUUACUCAUCUAAUAUUAAUUGCAUACCCAUCCUCUAUAAAUGAUAUCAUUUAUAAGGCUGACUUGCAUCACCGGUGAGAAAUGUAAUUUUAUUUGAAAAUGAAACACAUAAGAAUUUAAAAUAUCUGAAAAAAUAACUCUGCAGGGUUGUUUUUCCAUAAAUGUGCUAGAAAUUAUACCUUACCUGAUUAGCUCAUGAUAUUGAGCUUAGAGAUUAGAAAUUGCCCUGAAAUGCCUUUGUUAAAGUAAUCCAACCUGGAAAUUUAAGAUUAUUUUAUUUAAGAUUAAAGAUAAGAAUAAAAGUAAGAUAAAAACAUAACUGCAAAAUAGGCAGUGAAUCUUAAGAAUUCAGAAUUUUAAUAAAUUAUUUUUUAGUAUAAACUUGAUGAGUUUGCUCUUCUAAAUUAAAAUAACCUUAAAUAUAGUAACUUUAUUAUUUUGAAAACAUAUUAAAAACAUUCCUUUCUCAAGAAUGUUUGCUUAGCGAGGCAAAGGGCUUUAUCUGUUUAAUCAUUGUUAUCCACUAGAUAUAGAAUAGAGAGCAGCAAAUGUUAGGCCCUCAAUUUGUUCUCUAAUUAAUUAAUUAACUCAAUUAACUUAAUAACAUUAUGUAACAGAUUCAGACUCCUUAGGUCAUGUAUGCAUUUAAAUAACUUCUGUAUAUACAUGGUUUGAACUACGAUUUAAAUAAUUCUAUUUCAAAUAUUAAAAGUACCAUGGUGAUAUUGUCAUUAAUUUUCAUAUCUAUAUCCAAAGAUAAACUUGCUUAUAUUUUUUCAUUGUAGUUUUAUAGAUUAAGAAACUACCACAUAGUCCAUAAAUGCAUAGUGUGAGUAAAAUUUUUAUUAAGAUGACUCAUAGUAUAAGCAAGAACUAUUAACUAAACUCAUUGGGACUUUCAGUCCAGACAAGAUGAAACAGCCCCAUUUUCUGUUUUCCCCUCAUUAAUUUCAAUUAUAAAGCCUUGGAAUAAUGCCAGGGGUAAGCAAAGGAAAGGAUUCAAAGCUGCUAAGAAGGAGGCUAAGUAGUUUGGGAUCCCCAGAUUGGAAGAAGAACACAGUGGCUAGUGGUAUUAUGGCCUCCAUUCACCAGAAAGAAACCUUGACCCAGCAUUUCCCCUACUCUCAACCUAGCAGCAGAAGACAUCCUGAGUAGGUCCAUUCUUCCACAGAGCAAAUGGUAGCCCUGCCAAAGACUCCAGGUGAGCCUGUAGAUCAUCAAGAGAUCUUUUAAUAGUAAGUGACCAGGGAAGGCCACCUCCUUCUCCACAAAGCCUGAAAAUCCCCUCUUGGUGGGAUAAUACCAAGAGAGAUAGCACUGCCAAGAGAGAUAACAACAAGCACUCUAGUCUGGGAAGCCUCAUUAAUCUCUGAUUCUUCCUUCCAACCUCUCAUCAGGAGACAUAGGAUAUGCAGGAGGAAGCCUGGGAAAAAAACAGGACAAAUAGCCCAACCUGAAAGUGUUCUCCAUCCCUUACAAGCAGGAGGAAUUCCAUUCUGAGUACCUGGCCAGGGAAGCCCUCACCAGCCUGAUACUCCCUUCCCUUAGGGAAGGCACCAAGAAUGCUGACAACAUAGAAAAUAUACAAGGCCAAGCAUCUAUGAAUUUAACAUACAGUGUGAAGUGGAAUGAAGGUGCUCAAGAUGUGAACUCUGUCCUUCUAACAUCCAGAAGAGUCAACAGCCUCAGGAGGAAGUAGAACCCUGUGGACCAAUGGGGAUGGUCUGGGGAAGAACCAAAACUGGCUUUUGGAGCAGGCUGUUUCCAUUCUGCUUUCUUAAGCAGACCUGAAGUAAGAUGUGAUUGUGAUGCCGUUAUGAUUCUGAAGGCAGUGUACAGGAUAGUGCCUUAUAGAACCAUGUGGAGUCACAUGUAGGCUUUCAGCUGGAAAAAUUGAACUGACUUGAUUCUACUUGAUGCAUCUCCUUGGGAAAGACAGCCAGGCUUGGUCUCAGGAUGAAAGCAUGAGAGCCACAGAAAAAGUGGAAUGAAUCAUGCAAGACCUCUUAAUGGAUCUAGUCACAUGGAAAUGCAAAAAAGGAAAAAUGGCAAAAAAGGAAAAAAGAGCUAUGGUUUCAAGCUCUAUACAUUGAUGUUAAUCUUUCAUUUCCUUGGGAAGCUUUCAAAAUUAUCUGCGAAAGCCACAUAUCAAGGAAAGAAUCUGGACUUCAUAGCCAUUAAAAAGCAUAUCCUCAAGUAAGAAAUAUGCAGAAGCAUGAAACUAUUGGUGGGAAUGCAAGCUAGUACGGCCAUUCUGGAAAACAGUAUGGAGGUUCCUCAAAAAGUUGAAAAUAGAGCUACCCUACGACCCAGCAAUUGAGCUACUAGGUAUUUACCCA